rnacentral:rRNA from 1 species
UACAGAGGUCCCAAGCGUUGUUCGGAUUCACUGGGCGUAAAGAGCGCGCAGGCGGUCGAUCAAGUCGCGUGUGAAAGCCCCCGGCUCAACUGGGGAGGGUCACGCGAUACUGAUCGACUCGAAGGCAGGAGAGGGUAGUGGAAUUCCCGGUGUAGUGGUGAAAUGCGUAGAUAUCGGGAGGAACACCAGUGGCGAAGGCGACUACCUGGCCUGUUCUUGACGCUGAGGCGCGAAAGCUAGGGGAGCAAACGGG